UACAGAGACCUCAAGCGUUAUUCGGAUUUACUGGGCGUAAAGGGUGCGCAGGCGGCCAAGUGUGUCGGAGGUGAAAUCUUGCAGCUUAACUGUAAAAUUGCCUACGAAACUACUUGGCUAGAGUAUCGGAGAGGAUAGCGGAAUUCCAGGUGUAGCAGUGAAAUGCGUAGAUAUCUGGAGGAACACCAAUGGCGAAGGCAGCUAUCUGGACGAUUACUGACGCUCAGGCACGAAAGCAUGGGGAGCGAAA
rnacentral:rRNA from 1 species